rnacentral:rRNA from 1 species
UUAAAGGUAAGUUGACGGGGCCCGGCACAAGCGGUGGAGCAUGUGGUUUAAUUUCGAAGCAACGCGAAGAACCUUACCAGGCCUUGACAUGCAGAGAACUUUCCAGAGAUGGAUUGUGCCUUCGGAACUCUGACACAGGUGCUGCAUGGCUGUCGUCAGCUCGUGUCGUGAGGUGUCGGGUUAAGUCCCAUAACGAGCGCAACCCUACCUUUAGUUGCCAUCAGGUAAUGCUGGGGACUCUAAAGGAACUGCCUACGCAAGUAGUGAGGAAGCGGGGAUGACGUCAAAUCAGCACGGCCCUUACGUCCAGGGCUACACACGUGCUACAAUGGCCGAUACAGAGGGCAGCUACCUGGUGACAGGAUGCAAAUCUCCAAAGUCGGUCUCAGUUCGGAUCGGAGUCUGCAACCCGACUCCGUGAAGUUGGAUUCGCUAGUAAUCGCGCAUCAGCCAUGGCGCGGUGAAUACGUUCCCGGGCCUU